UGGCCUUGGAUAUACUAGACAAAGUGAAUGCCAAGUAUUAUUUGUGCUGAUAUUUUUCUUUUGUUUUUCUUGCUUUCCUAGAUUUAUGCGCUCUUUCCGUCUAUUUAUAACUCCGGGUAUCCUCAUCAAGUGUCUGAAGAUGACAAUUCAUGCAGGUUCCAAAAUUCUGAUCAGCCUGAUGUGUUUACAGCAUUCAGGGAAAUGGGAUUGAAAAUUAUGUCCAACAUCAAUAUCAGGAAACCAAGACUGUGUCUAACUAAUCAGUCAACAACUAUGAUGAAGGAAAAAGGGAUGUUCACUUCCAGUCCCAUGUUGAUGUUUGCUCGGCCCCAUAAGGAAUCUAACACAGGAUAUCUGAUGACAUCUACCUAUCAGCCCACUAUGUUUUCACCUGUUUCUUCAGCUGAAGAGAAAGUGCACAAGUAUUUCACAAAAACCUGGCUAUGGGAUUUGUAUUCUAUUGGGUGAGUAGACUGAGUAGUGGGAGUCUAGUUAGGGUGACCUGGAAUGGCAGCAGAUACAACCAGAUUUAAAUCAUAAGCUACCAAGGAAGACGCUAAAAUACACAUAUUAUGGGUUUCAUACCUACCAGAUUUUUUCUUGUUGGAGCUGAUGUCUGCAUCAAAUAUAUUUUCCUGUACUAGAUGACCAUGCAGAGAAAGUAUCCAUCCAAGGGAUGUGGCUGGCAUGAAAAUAGAACAAAGUAGGCAUGAUGUGAUAAAGCAGCUUGUUUUACUUCCUGCAGUCUGCCUGUGCUGGCUCUGUGAAUCAGCAGUUCACAAAGUAGGCUCAUGGGAUGUAUCCUGGGAUAAAGGAGAACCUGAUCUCCACAGAAGCCCUGCACAGGACUUCGGAUUGUGUCCUGUGAGAAAGGCUGAAGGUUCAGUGAGUAUGCAGGUAGCCUCACCAACACAA